AUGCGUUGCAGGGGGAGCCAGGUGAGCCUGGCUGAGAGGUUGGCCCAAGCCUGUACCAGCGAUCGAACGCCAGCGGCGCAAUGCCAACGACCCCGUGAACCUGACGGGUAAUGCCGGCGUAGGGAUGCGUUACGAUAGGACG
rnacentral:ncRNA from 1 species